rnacentral:rRNA from 1 species
UACGGAGGGUGCAAGCGUUAAUCGGAAUUACUGGGCGUAGAGGGUGCGUAGGUUGUUUGAUAAGUUAUCUGUAAAAUCCCCGGGCUUAACCUGGGCAGGUCAGAUAAGACUGUUGAACUCGAGUAUAGGAGAGGGUAGUGGAAUUUCCGGUGUAGCGGUGAAAUGCGUAGAGAUCGGGAGGAACACCAGUGGCGAAGGCGGCUACCUGGCCGAAUACUGACACUGAGGCACGAAAGCGUGGGGAGCAAACAGG